rnacentral:rRNA from 1 species
AGAGUUUGAUCCUGGCUCAGGACGAACGCUGGCGGCGGGCUUAACACAUGCAAGUCGAACGAGCAGUCUUGACUUCGGUCGAGGCGGGCGAGUGGCGAACGGGUGCGUAACACGUAGGUAACCUACCCUCAAGAGGGGAAUAACCACUGGAAACGGUGGCUAAUACCGCAUAUUGUCCUGAUUGCGCAUGCAAACAGGAUGAAAUACUCUGGUGCUUGAGGAUGGACCUGCGGCGGAUUAGGAAGUUGGUGAGGUAACGGCUCACCAAUCCUGCGAUCCGUAGCUGGUCUGAGAGGAUGAUCAGCCACACUGGCACUGAGACACGGGCCAGACUCCUACGGGAGGCAGCAGUGAGGAAUAUUGGGCAAUGGACGAAAGUCUGACCCAGCCACGCCGCGUGCAGGAUGACACCCCUACGGGGCGUAAACUGCUUUUAUGUGAGAAGAACCCCCUGGAUUCGUCCGGGGCUGACGGUAUCACACGAAUAAGGACCGGCUAACUCCGUGCCAGCAGCCGCGGUAAUACGGAGGGUCCAAGCGUUGUCCGGAUUUAUUGGGUGUAAAGGGUGUGUAGGCGGGCCAGUAAGUCUGAGGUGAAAUCCCACGGCUCAACCGUGGAACUGCCUUAGAUACUGUUGGUCUUGAGUCCUGGAGAGGUCAUCGGAAUUCGUGGUGUAGCGGUGAAAUGCGUAGAUAUCACGAGGAACACCUGUUGCGAAGGUUGGUGACUGGACAGGUACUGACGCUGAGGCACGAAAGCGUGGGGAGCAAACAGGAUUAGAUACCCUGGUAGUCCACGCCGUAAACGAUGGACACUCGGUGUCGCCGAAAUUGGUCGGCGGUGCCCAAGCGAACGCAUUAAGUGUCCCACCUGGGGAGUACGCUGGCAACGGUGAAACUCAAAGGAAUUGACGGGGGCCCGCACAAGCGGUGGAGCAUGUUGCUUAAUUCGAUGCAACGCGAGGAACCUUACCUGGGCUCGAACGCUACCGGACCGCUGCCGAAAGGUAGCUUCCCCUAACAGGGCUGGUAGUGAGGUGCUGCAUGGCUGUCGUCAGUUCGUGUCGUGAGAUGUUGGGUUAAGUCCCGCAACGAACGCAACCCCUGUCGUUAGUUACCAGCGGUUAAAGCCGGGGACUCUAGCGAGACUGCCUGCGCAAGCAGUGAGGAAGGUGGGGAUGACGUCAAGUCAUCAUGGCCCUUAUGCUCAGGGCUGCAAACGUGCUACAAUGGGUGAUACAACGGGUUGCCACUUCGUGAGAAGGCGCGAAUCCCAAAAGUCAUCCUCAGUUCGGAUCGGAGUCUGCAACUCGACUCCGUGAAGUCGGAAUCGCUAGUAAUCGCGUAUCAGCAACGACGCGGUGAAUACGUUCCCGGGCCUUGUACACACCGCCCGUCAAGCCAUGGAAGCCGGGGGCACCCGAAGUCCGUGACCCAACCUUAGGGAGGGAGCGGCCGAAGGUGAAUUCGGUAACUGGGGCUAAGUCGUAACAAGGUA